CGAAGAUUAGCAACAGAAAAUUCAAAGAUUAAUUGCUCUCAGUUGAAAGGCCAAGGUUUUCCACAUCAGAAACCAAGAAUGAAGGCUUUUAUCUCUUAAAACUUAAGACAAAUAGAAAAGCCAUAGAUUCAAGUGCUUGACGGAAGCUUUCUUCCAUAAUCUAAAAGAAGAGGACAUGUAUUGAAACAACAUUACCCUCAAAACCUAGAUAACAGAAUCAUUAAGCAAAAACCAAACACAUGAAACAUGGCAAUAACUCCUUUGCCUUAAAUCAAAGAGAAAAAAGCUCUAACCUCCAAGAUCUCUAUUUUCAGUGUGGUUAAAGCAAAUAUCAAUCAUCAUCGAGCAAAAAUAUACAAACAAAACCCAGAUCUUAAAAACGGUGAAACUUACUAGAAAAUGCAAGAAUCCAUAGAAAACCAAAUAAAUAAAUUCCAGAAGUAUCAUUGAUAUUGCAUCAUUUUAUUAUCCUCUAGUGUUAUUGUUUUACAGCGAACACCGAGGGUAUUAGGAGAUGCCAUUGAGAGAAUUGGGAUGGGGAUUUUGGUACAAAUCGGCUGUUUAAAGGUUUGGGGAUAGGGGGAUUUAUAUAGUCUCAAAACACAAAAUUAGGGUUUAGGGUUAGCA
rnacentral:lncRNA from 1 species